GUUGAAUUAAUUUGAAUUGCGUCCACUUAGAGAGCUACCCAAAAAUACAAGCAAACUGUUUCCAUAAGCCUGAGAGCUGUGUCAAACAGUGUUCUGGGGACAAGUUUUGCAAGAGCAACUUUCUAAAUCGCAUUUAAAUGGCAGUUUUAACAGGAACUCGCUCGGAAGAUGCACUACGUACGAGCUGGAACUGUUUAUGAAAUAUGUAGCAGAAAUAUUCAUUUGCAAAC
rnacentral:lncRNA from 1 species